AAUAUACUCCCUCCGUUCGGAAUUACUUGUCAUAGAAAUGGAUGUAUCUAGACGUAUUUUAGUUCUAGAUACAUUCAUUUCUGAGACAAGUAAUUCCGAACGGAGGGAGUAUAUG
rnacentral:pre_miRNA from 1 species